UACGUAGGGUCCGAGCGUUGUCCGGAAUUAUUGGGCGUAAAGGGCUCGUAGGCGGUUUGUCGCGUCGGGAGUGAAAACCCAGGGCUUAACCCUGGGCUGGCUUCCGAUACGGGCAGACUAGAGGUAUGCAGGGGAGAACGGAAUUCCUGGUGUAGCGGUGAAAUGCGCAGAUAUCAAGGAGGAACACCGGUGGCGAAGGCGGUUCUCUGGGCAUUACCUGACGCUGAGGAGCGAAAGUGUGGGGAGCGAACAGG
rnacentral:rRNA from 1 species